UUUUCAGACCUAUGCAAUGAUUUUGUAGGACACCGUGUCAGGAUGGGAACAUAGCAGCACAUCUUACUUUUUCAUGUGCCGUAGGUAUCUGGAGAGAG
rnacentral:SRP_RNA from 1 species